UACGUAGGGUGCGAGCGUUAAUCGGAAUUACUGGGCGUAAAGCGUGCGCAGGCGGUUUUGUAAGCCAGAUGUGAAAUCCCCGGGCUUUAACCUGGGAAUGGCAUUUGGGACUGCAAGGCUGGAGUGUGGCAGAGGAGACUGGAAUUCCUGGUGUAGCAGUGAAAUGCGUAGAUAUCAGGAGGAAUACCGAUGGCGAAGGCAGGUCUCUGGGCUGACACUGACGCUCAUGCACGAAAGCGUGGGGAGCAAACAGG
rnacentral:rRNA from 1 species